rnacentral:rRNA from 1 species
ACUCCUACGGGAGGCAGCAGUGGGGAAUAUUGCACAAUGGGGGAAACCCUGAUGCAGCCAUGCCGCGUGUGUGAAGAAGGCCUUCGGGUUGUAAAGCACUUUCAGUAGGGGAGGAUGNUGUAGUUAACACCUGCACUAUUUGACGUUACCUACAGAAGAAGCACCGGCUAACUCCGUGCCAGCAGCCGCGGUAAUACGGAGGGUGCGAGCGUUAAUCGGAAUUACUGGGCGUAAAGCGCAUGCAGGCGGCCUGUUAAGUCAGAUGUGAAAGCCCGGGGCUUAACCUCGGAAUUGCAUUUGAAACUGGCAGGCUAGAGUCUUGUAGAGGGGGGUGAGAAUUUCAGGGUGUAGCGGUGAAAUGCGUAGAGAUCUGAAGGAAUACCAGUGGCGAAGGCGGCCCCCU